UUAAGUUAUUAAGGGCGCAUGGUGGAUGCCUUGGCACUAGGAGCCGAUGAAGGACGUGACUAACUGCGAUAUGCUUCGGGGAGUCGUAAGUAGACUGUGAUCCGGAGAUUUCCGAAUGGGGAAACCCAACAGGUUUUGCCUGCUAUCGCUCAAUGAAUUCAUAGUUGAGCCGAAGGUAGACGCGGGGAACUGAAACAUCUAAGUACCCGCAGGAAGAGAAAGAAAAUUCGAUUCCCUAAGUAGCGGCGAGCGAACGGGGAACAGCCCAAACCAGAGAGCUUGCUCUUUGGGGUUGUAGGACUGGACAUCUGAGUUACCAAGAAAUAACGUAGUCGAAUGAUAUGGGAAGAUCAGCCAGAGAAGGUAACAGCCCUGUAAACGAAACGUUGUUUCCUCAGUCCAGGAUCCUGAGUACGGCGGAACACGUGAAACUCCGUCGGAAUCCGGGAGGACCAUCUCCCAAGGCUAAAUACUCCCUAGUGACCGAUAGUGAACCAGUACCGUGAGGGAAAGGUGAAAAGCACCCCGGGAGGGGAGUGAAAGAGUACCUGAAACCAUGUGCCUACAAGUAGUCAGAGCCCGUUAACGGGUGAUGGCGUGCCUUUUGUAGAAUGAACCGGCGAGUUAUGCUAACGUGCGAGGUUAAGGCGGAAAGGCCGGAGCCGCAGCGAAAGCGAGUCUGAACAGGGCGAACGAGUACGUUGGUGUAAACCCGAAACCAGGUGACCUACCCAUGUCCAGGUUGAAGGUGCGGUAAAACGCACUGGAGGACCGAACCCGUGUAUGUUGAAAAAUGCUGGGAUGAGGUGUGGGUAGCGGUGAAAUUCCAAUCGAACUUGGAGAUAGCUGGUUCUCUCCGAAAUAGCUUUAGGGCUAGCCUCGGAGUUGAGAAUCGUGGAGGUAGAGCACUGUUUGGACUAGGGGCCCGUCUUGGGUUACUGAAUUCAGAUAAACUCCGAAUGCCACUGAUUUAUAUCCGGGAGUCAGACUGCGAGUGAUAAGAUCCGUAGUCGAAAGGGAAACAGCCCAGACCACCGAUUAAGGUCCCUAAAUAUGUGUUAAGUGGAAAAGGAUGUGGAAUUGCACAGACAACUAGGAUGUUGGCUCAGAAGCAGCCACCAUUUAAAGAGUGCGUAAUAGCUCACUAGUCGAGUGAUCCUGCGCCGAAAAUGUAACGGGGCUAAACACAUUACCGAAAUCGUGGAUGCAGCUUUGCUGCAUGGUAGGAGAGCGUUCUAAGGGCGGUGAAGCCGGACCGUAAGGACCGGUGGAGCGCUUAGAAGUGAGAAUGCCGGUAUGAGUAGCGAAAGACAGGUGAGAAUCCUGUCCACCGAAUGACUAAGGUUUCCUGGGGAAGGCUCGUCCUCCCAGGGUUAGUCGGGACCUAAGCUGAGGCCGAGAGGCGUAGGCGAUGGACAACGGGUUGAUAUUCCCGUACCGGUCUGAUUUGUUUGAGCAACGGAGGGACGCAGGAGGCUAACGAUGCGCACUAUCGGAUGUGCGUCCAAGCAGCAAGUCUGUCGGCGAGUCAAAUGCUUGCCGGCUCAAGGACAAGCUGUGACGGGUAUGAACGAUUUAUCGUUCUAAGUGAGUGACGUCACACUGCCAAGAAAAGCUUCUAGUUAGAAUCAGACCGCCCGUACCGCAAACCGACACAGGUAGUCGGGUCGAGAAGACCAAGGUGAGCGAGAGAACUCUCGUUAAGGAACUCGGCAAAAUGACCCCGUAACUUCGGGAGAAGGGGUGCUGAUCGCAAGAUCAGCCGCAGUGAAUAGGCCCAGGCGACUGUUUAUCAAAAACACAGGUUUCUGCAAAAUCGUAAGAUGAAGUAUAGGGGCUGACGCCUGCCCGGUGCUGGAAGGUUAAGAGGAUGGGUUAGCGCAAGCGAAGCUCAGAAUUGAAGCCCCAGUAAACGGCGGCCGUAACUAUAACGGUCCUAAGGUAGCGAAAUUCCUUGUCGGGUAAGUUCCGACCCGCACGAAAGGCGUAACGAUCUGGGCACUGUCUCAACGAGAGACUCGGUGAAAUUAUAAUACCCGUGAAGAUGCGGGUUACCCGCGACAGGACGGAAAGACCCCAUGGAGCUUUACUGUAGCUUGAUAUU
rnacentral:rRNA from 1 species